rnacentral:rRNA from 1 species
AUGCCCAAGUGCAAGCCAUCAUCUGGGGCCUUCAGAACGCUGAACAAUGCAGAUCACAUCCCACACCUGGCCGACCACAACAACAUUCCGGCUCUCUCCUUCUACGGCAGUGAUGCCUUCUGGCAAGAAGAUCCUGUAAACGAUUCCGCGGACCUUACACUUGGAUCAAAUGACAGCAUGAUGUUUCUUCAUCCAAGAACCGAGAAAAUAAACGGCAUGAAACUGGAUACAAGAAAUUCAAGACAAGAUCACGAAGGUCAGAUGAUGCUGAAAGAUUUUGCAAAUGUUAUUUAUCCUAUUUUCGAGAAACAAAACGUCAGCACGUACAGUACUGUUGAAGAUAUGGUGACUCGCAAAUGCCGAGGCUCUUCCAGGAUGAUGCUUAGUGGUGAGCACUAUGAUGAGCUUGUAUGCAGCGUGUCUCCGAGGGUGAAUUUGGGAGUGGGCGGUGUGCCAUACGCACAGUCUGGUGCGUCUAUGAUUGUGCUCGUCGAGGAUGAACCAUAUACAAUAAGUGGGACCCACACAUCAUUCUUCUUCCUUCUCUCUCUAUCUUUCUUUGGCAUUUUCACAAACAGCUUCUGUGCAUCCCGGCUCCCAGGCGGUCGUCGCCGGAGGCGAGAGGGAGGCCGGAGCCGUGGUGCUGCUGCCACCGGGCUCAGCAGGGAGGGCCCGGCGUCGCGCCCACGCGCAGCAGCUGAACCUGCUGCCCUCCACCGGGCUCAGCAGGGAGGGCCCGGCGUCGCGCCCCCGCGCAGCCGCUUCCUCGCACCGCCGCCUCCCGCAGCGCCGCGCGCCUCGUCCGGACCGGCCGCAAGAUUGCCAGGCGCCUCGCAGCCGCCUGCCUCCACGCCUUACUCCUGCUAG